GCUCGAAUAGCUUAGUUGGUUAGAGUGUGUGGCCCUUAACCACAAGGGUGAAAGUUCAAGCCCUUCUUCUAGCG